UGCACGUCUUGACGGUACCUAAUCAGAAAGCCACGGCUAACUACGUGCCAGCAGCCGCGGUAAUACGUAGGUGGCAAGCGUUAUCCGGAAUUAUUGGGCGUAAAGCGCGCGUAGGCGGUUUUUUAAGUCUGAUGUGAAAGCCCACGGCUCAACCGUGGAGGGUCAUUGGAAACUGGAAAACUUGAGUGCAGAAGAGGAAAGUGGAAUUCCAUGUGU
rnacentral:rRNA from 1 species